rnacentral:rRNA from 1 species
GCACGCCCGGUCCCGUUCCGAACCCGGAAGCUAAGCCCCCGAGCGCCGAGAGUACUGCGGUGUCAGACCGUGGGAGGGCAGGGCGCCGCUGACC